AUUGAACGCUGGCGGCAUGCUUUACACAUGCAAGUCGAACGGCAGCUCGGGCUUCGUCCUGGCGGCGAGUGGCGAACGGGUGAGUAAUGCAUCUGAACGUGCCCAGUAGUGGGGGAUAGCCCGGCGAAAGCCGGAUCAAUACCGCAUACGACCUGAGGGUGAAAGCGGGGGACCGAAAGGACUCCCGCUAUUGGCUCGGCCGAUGUCGGAUUAGCUAGUUGGUGGGGUAAAGGCUUACCUAGGCGACGAUCCGUAGCUGGUCUGAGAGGACGACCAGCCACACUGGGACUGAGACACGGCCCAGACUCCUACGGGAGGCAGCAGUGGGGAAUUUGGGACAAUGGGGGCAACACUGAUCCAGACAUGCCGCGUGCGGGAAGAAGGACUUCGGGUUGUAAACCGCUUUUGUUCGGGAAGAAAUCCUCUGGGCUAAUACCCCGGGGGGAUGACGGUACCGGAAGAAUGAGCACCGGCUAACUACGUG
rnacentral:rRNA from 1 species